UACGAAGGGGGCUAGCGUUGCUCGGAAUCACUGGGCGUAAAGCGCACGUAGGCGGCUUUUUAAGUCAGGGGUGAAGUCCUGGAGCUCAACUCCAGAACUGCCUUUGAUACUGGGAAGCUUGAGUCCGGAAGAGGUGAGUGGAACUCCGAGUGUAGAGGUGAAAUUCGUAGAUAUUCGGAAGAACACCAGUGGCGAAGGCGGCUCACUGGUCCGGUACUGACGCUGAGGUGCGAAAGCGUGGGGAGCAAACAGG
rnacentral:rRNA from 1 species